rnacentral:rRNA from 1 species
CCUACGGGUGACAGCAGUCGAGAAUCAUUCACAAUGGGGGAAACCCUGAUGGUGCGACGCCGCGUGGGGGAAUGAAGGUCCUCGGAUUGUAAACCCCUGUCAUGUGGGAGCAAAUUAAAAAGAUAGAACCUCAAGAGGAAGAGACGGCUAAAUCGGUGCAAGCAGCCGCGGUAAGACAGAGGCCGUAAGCGUUGUUCGGAAUAACUGGGCGUAAAGCGUGCGUAGGCGGUUUCGUAAGUCGUGUGUGAAAGGCGCGGGCUCAACCCGCGGAGGGCACAUAAUACUGCGAGACUAGAGUGAGGGAGGGGGAACCGGAAGUCUCGGUGUAGCAGUGAAAUGCGUAGAUAUCGAGAGGAACACUCGUGGCGAGGGCGGGUUCCUGGACAUUAACUGAGGCUGGGGCACGAAGGCCAGGGAGCGAAAGGGAUUAGAUACCCUAGUAGUC